GAUGAACGCUGGCUACAGGCUUAACACAUGCAAGUCGUGGGGAAACGGCAUUAUGUGCUUGCACAUUCUGGACGUCGACCGGCGCACGGGUGAGUAUCGCGUAUCCAACCUGCCCCUUACUUGGGGAUACCCCGUUGAAAGACGGCCUAAUACCCGAUGUGUUUCAUUGACGGCAUCCGAUAUGAAACAAAGGUUUUCCGGUAAGGGAUGGGGAUGCGUCUGAUUAGCUUGUUGGCGGGGCAACGGCCCACCAAGGCGACGAUCAGUAGGGGUUCUGAGAGAAAGGUCCCCCACAUUGGAACUGAGACACGGUCCAAACUCCUACGGGAGGCAGCAGUGAGGAAUAUUGGUCAAUGGACGCAAGUCUGAACCAGCCAAGUAGCGUGCAGGAUGACGGCCCUAUGGGUUGUAAACUGCUUUUAUGUGGGAAUAAAUUGGCGCACGUGUGCGCCAUUGCAUGUA
rnacentral:rRNA from 1 species